CGCCUGAUUUCCUUUAUUUUAAAAACUAGAAGUUUGGUUUCAUUCCAUUCAUGCAGUGGUUCUCUAAAAGAAGACAUUUGUAUGUAUUUCCCAUUGGGUCCUAUGUUAAACUAAGUCCCUCGCUGGCGGCCAUCUUGAAUGAUGGAUCGGCUACAAAGUAACAACACUUGGUCAGCACCUCAUGAGGAACAUGCAUGCCAUGUUUGGUUUCAUACCAUUCAGUGGUUUUCUAAAAGAAGUCAUUUGUAUGCAUUUCCCAUAGAGUUCUAUGAUGAA
rnacentral:lncRNA from 1 species